rnacentral:rRNA from 1 species
UACGUAGGGUGCGAGCGUUGUCCGGAAUUACUGGGCGUAAAGAGCUCGUAGGUGGUUUGUCGCGUUGUUCGUGAAAACCGGGGGCUUAACCCUCGGCGUGCGGGCGAUACGGGCAGACUGGAGUACUGCAGGGGAGACUGGAAUUCCUGGUGUAGCGGUGAAAUGCGCAGAUAUCAGGAGGAACACCGGUGGCGAAGGCGGGUCUCUGGACAGUUCCUGACACUGAGGCACGAAGGCCAGGGGAGCAAACGGG